rnacentral:rRNA from 1 species
UACGUAGGUGGCAAGCGUUGUCCGGAAUUAUUGGGCGUAAAGCGCGCGCAGGCGGUCUUUUAAGUCUGAUGUGAAAGCCCACGGCUCAACCGUGGAGGGUCAUUGGAAACUGGGAGACUUGAGUACAGAAGAGAAGAGUGGAAUUCCACGUGUAGCGGUGAAAUGCGUAGAUAUCUGGAGGAACACCGGUGGCGAAGGCGGCGUUCUGGACUGCAACUGACACUGAUGAACGAAAGCCAGGGGAGCAAACGGG